CGGGGCGUAGCGCAGCCCGGUUAGCGCGCCUGUUUUGGGAGCAGGAUGUCGGAGGUUCAAAUCCUCUCGCCCCGA
rnacentral:tRNA from 1 species